ACGCUUCUGCCACCGGGUAGAAAAUGCGAUAAAGCAUUUGUGUGCACAUCGUUAGGUCUUAGAAGAUGGGCACGCGGAUGUUUAUUUUUU
rnacentral:ncRNA from 1 species